GGAGAGGUCGCCUAGAGGCCGAGGGCGCACGCCUGGAAAGCGUGUACGGGCAACCGUCGUGGGUUCGAAUCCCACCCUCUCCG
rnacentral:tRNA from 1 species